AUUGAACGCUGGCGGCAGGCCUAACACAUGCAAGUCGAACGGUAACAGGAAGAAGCUUGCUUCUUUGCUGACGAGUGGCGGACGGGUGAGUAAUGUCUGGGAAACUGCCUGAUGGAGGGGGAUAACUACUGGAAACGGUAGCUAAUACCGCAUAACGUCGCAAGACCAAAAAGGGGGACCUUCGGGCCUCUUGCCAUCGGAUGUGCCCAGAUGGGAUUCGCUAGUAGGUGGGGUAACGGCUCACCUAGGCGACGAUCCCUAGCUGGUCUGAGAGGAUGACCAGCCACACUGGAACUGAGACACGGUCCAGACUCCUACGGGAGGCAGCAGUGGGGAAUAUUGCACAAUGGGCGCAAGCCUGAUGCAGCCAUGCCGCGUGUAUGAAGAAGGCCUUCGGGUUGUAAAGUACUUUCAGCGGGGAGGAAGGGAGUAAAGUUAAUACCUUGGCUCAUUGACGUUACCCGCAGAAGAAGCACCGGCUAACUCCGUG
rnacentral:rRNA from 1 species